AAUAUCACAUUAUCACCACAACUUCUGAACCAGCGAAGCUUCCUCUCUCACUCCUUCCUUUUCCGCAGCCUCCACCAAACACCACCACUGAAUGCCACCACCGUACCCUCCUCCUUCUUUCCUUUUUCUGUUAAUGAUGGUGGUGACUGUCACGUGGCAGCCACAAGAUCAAGGGUUUUAGGAGAUCUAUGACCUUCCCAAGUAGCAGAUUUCACAUUCUUCUUCCGUUGACAAGGCUCAGAUUUGACAGCACCUUUAGCACUACUCUUAGUUCCUUAACUUCAACAAUUACCUCUCCUUCAUCUUCUCUCGUGCUAAGGGUGAAGAUGUUGAUUGGAGGUCUGUAGAGGGAGAAAUCUGCUUUGAACAACAGUUCUAUUAUUGGGUAUUUUUCAUCUUCUUGUCUCUCAUUUAUAAGCUUUGGUACAUUGAUAUUUUGGUUGAUUGUAUACACGAUUUGUGCUUUGUUUGAGACUUUAAUUUCUUGUACUUCAUAUUUGAUUAUAGUGGAGCCAUUUUCCUGGUCUUGGUGACUCGUGAUUUUUACCUCACAUUGAGGGAUUUUUCACGUUAAAAUAUCAGUGUGUUCUUAUUGUUACUUUAGUUAAAAUAUUUGCCUGCUUAUUGUUGCUGUCAUAUUAUGUUGUGAACGCUUCCAUAUUGUUCUUGUAUUGGAUAUUUAUGUUGUUUUCGCUGUCAGACACUUUCAAGCAACAACCUUGUGAUCAGACCAAAUAUCAACUAACUUAAAGAUAUCGUUGCAAUAGUUUCUCCAAACCUACGACAAGCUAGCACCAAUGAUUAAUUUCUGUCUAGGCAACACCUUCUAAAUCUGAGAUACAAGAGUGAUGAUGACUAGUUUAAAGAUUAUUCUUCAUGACUUGUUUUCAAUUUUUCAUGGUAUUAGCUUGAGGAUUAAUAAACCGUAAUUUUAUAGUUUAUCUUGUGUUGAUUUUAGGGGAUUUUAUCAACUUAUCCCACAUUUAUUCAAUGAAAUAGCAUGGUUUCAUGAAUUUCUCCUAAUUAUGCUUAAUGGCUAAAAACAUGCUUUUUAAGCUUUAAAUUGGCAAUUUUAAUUCACCUUUGAUUCCACUAGAUACUUUGAUGUGUUUGUUAGUGAAUUCAGGAUUGAAAAAGGCAAGGAAUGAAUCAAAGGAGUGAAGGAAAAAGCAUGUAAAAAGGAGGAUUCAUGGAAAAACAAGGAUUUAGAGUAUCCAGAGCGACACGCACGCAUGACAGACGCAUACGUGUGAAGAGGUGCAUCGUCGAAAGCAACGCGUAUGCGUGACAUGACGUGUGCGCAUGACAAGAAAAAGCCAGACGACGCGUACGCGUGACCCAUGUAUAUGCGUCACAAUCAGCACGUGACCUCAUUAAAUUGAAUACGCUGGGGACGAUUUCUAAGCUGCCAAGGCCUAAAUCCAACCCAUUUCUGAAACUAUUUGAGGCUGAAUUCAAGAUGGAUCAAGGGGGGAACAAUUAGUUAGUGUAGGAAACAUGCCUUAGGUUAGUUCUAGAGAGAGAAGCUCCCUCUUCUCUCUAGAAAUUAGGGUUCUUAGUUUAUUUUCAUCUUAGAUUUAGGUUUAAUUACUUAUUUUGAUUUAGUUUCCUUUACUUUUCCUUGUUGAAUUGCUCCAAUCUUUUUAGUUUCUCUUGUUAAUUUCUCAUUUUGUUACUUUUUAUGUUGAUGAACUCUUGUUAAUUCCCCUUUCCUUUAAUGCAAUUUGAGGUUUUAUGUUC